rnacentral:tRNA from 1 species
GCGCUGGUGGUUCAGUGGUAGAAUUCUCGCCUGCCACGCGGGAAACCAGGGUUCGAUUCCCCGCUAGCGCA